AACGAACGCUGGCGGCAGGCUUAACACAUGCAAGUCGAACGCAUCCUUCGGGGUGAGUGGCAGACGGGUGAGUAACGCGUGGGAACGUGCCCUUCAGUUCGGGAUAACCCAGGGAAACUUGGGCUAAUACCGGAUACGUGCGAGAGCAGAAAGAUUUAUCGCUGAAGGAUCAGCCCGCGUCUGAUUAGCUAGUUGGCGGGGUAAUGGCCCACCAAGGCGACGAUCAGUAGCUGGUCUGAGAGGAUGAUCAGCCACAUUGGGACUGAGACACGGCCCAAACUCCUACGGGAGGCAGCAGUGGGGAAUAUUGGACAAUGGGCGCAAGCCUGAUCCAGCCAUGCCGCGUGAGUGAUGAAGGCCUUAGGGUUGUAAAGCUCUUUCGUCCGGGACGAUAAUGACGGUACCGGAAGAAGAAGCCCCGGCUAACUUCGUGCCAGCCGCCGCAGUAA
rnacentral:rRNA from 1 species